CGACGUAGGUAACCUGCCUUGUAGCGGGGGAUAACUAUUGGAAACGAUAGCUAAUACCGCAUAACAAUGGAUGACACAUGUCAUUUAUUUGAAAGGGGCAAUUGCUCCACUACGAGAUGGACCUGCGUUGUAUUAGCUAGUAGGUGAGGUAACGGCUCACCUAGGCGACGAUACAUAGCCGACCUGAGAGGGUGAUCGGCCACACUGGGACUGAGACACGGCCCAG
rnacentral:rRNA from 1 species